GGAGGAAAGCAGGGGAUCGUAAGACCUUGCGUUAAUGGAGCGGCCGAUAUCUGAUUAGCUAGUUGGUGAGGUAAAGGCUCACCAAGGCGGCGAUCAGUAGCUGGUUUGAGAGAACGACCAGCCACACUGGAACUGAGACACGGUCCAGACUCCUACGGGAGGCAGCAGUGGGGAAUUUUGGACAAUGGGGGCAACCCUGAUCCAGCCAUUCCGCGUGAGUGAAGAAGGCCUUCGGGUUGUAAAGCUCUUUCGCAAGGGAAGAAAACUUAUGAUCGAAUAAAUCAUGAGGUUGACGGUACCUUGAUAAGAAGCACCGGCUAACUACGUGCCAGCAGCCGCGGUAAUACGUAGGGUGCGAGCGUUAAUCGGAAUUACUGGGCGUAAAGCGUGCGCAGGCGGUUUUGUAAGUCGGAUGUGAAAUCCCCGGGCUCAACCUGGGAACUGCGUUUGAAACUACAAGGCUAG
rnacentral:rRNA from 1 species